UAAAUUUGUUUCGCCAGUGGAUGUGAAAUCACAACAAGAUUGAUAAUUUGUUUCGACCUGACUGGCCACAUAUAUAUUUAGCAAUGCACUAAAUUAUUAUAUUAAACAUUUUUGUAUAAAUGUUAAUAUAUAUUAUUAUAUCUAAUAUUGGACUAUUGAAAGUUUGAUGAAGCAACGCACGGCGCAGAUUCGUGCUCCGACGAGUCCGACAUCCAAUGGGAACGUCUACCUCGGCGCACACAGGGAGAAACGCCAGGUGCCGAGGUGCACACGCAGCAACACACACACACCGGUGCGCGGUCGCGAGCAGCUGGCGGGGGAGGUGCGCAGAAUCGGAAAAUCGGGAUCGCGCCGAUCGCGGGCGCGGGCGGCUCAUUGCAGUAUUGCACUAUCGAGUAUCGUACUAUCCAGCACUAUCGCAGUUCGUCAAGGCGUGUUCGCGGGGUGUACGAGUGCGAGCCGGAGAUAGUAACGAGACGAGGAUGGGAUUGCCGUAUGGCGACGAUGAAUCGUGUCGCGAUUCGCGACCGCGACCGAUCGCGUAGCUCGGGAGCGUUCGUGGAGCCGGAAGCGGGCUCGGUCGGCGUGAACGCGGUACCGAGGCGGCGGCAACGCCUCGCUUUCUGACGAUCGUCGUCCCCGAGGAGAAAGAGAGAUUGAGAGAGAAAGAGAGAGAGAGAGAGGGAGGGAAAGCGAAAGAGAGGGAGAGAAAGAGAGAGAGGGAGCUCCUCCUCUCGGCGGAGAACGAGACGCGAAGAGGUCCUCCGUCGCGCGAGCUGCUUUUUUUGGCGAGCGUCGCCGACAUGAACCAGACGAGUCGCGGACGAGUGAAUCGCGUCAUCAGUCGCACGAACGGCCCCGUCAGCUGAUCGUUUGUCGCACAACGAAAUGUGAGGUAGCGAGAAUUACCUACCUACCUACCUAUCUACCUACCUACCUACCUACCUACCUGUCUAUCUACUCACCUACCUAACGUCAAGCCAGAACGUGCUGCUUCCGCACACGCAUAGCGGUGCAGUUCCGAAUUCACGCGGCCCGCAUUUUCCUCCCCGCGCGCAAACUGGGACUGAUCGCGCGCGCAAAGUGCGGGAGGCGGGAAGCACAGCGGAACAAAUCUGGCACGAUACCGGUUAGAGCUUAUAUGAGAAUAUGGGGAACAAGAAUAGCUGUUGCGUCUACUCCAGUCCACAGGUCGGGCGCAAGGAGGUGGGGCCUGAGUGUGCCACGCGCAACCUGGAAGAGCGCUUGCCGGAGGGUGGGAUUAGCGUUAAUAAUUUGCAACAUAUCAGUGAACGCGAGCCAGAGGACUGGGACUCCGAUCCGUCGUUGCAUCCAUGUGCUGGGACUAUCUUCAUGGAGCGUUCCAAGCAAGCUAUCGAGAAUGGCAUGGUGAGGAAAAAGAGUCAACAUCAAAUAGCAGACACAAGGCCUUUGAAGAAGAGCAGCAGCUGUAGUACAAUAUACUUAGACGACAGUACAGUUUCGCAACCUAACUUAAAGAAUACCGUCAAAUGCGUUGCCUUAGCCGUUUAUUAUCAUAUUAAGAAUAGAACCUCGCAGCGACAAAUUGAUAUAUUUGAUGAGAAACUGCAUCCAUUAACGAGGGAUGGUGUUUCUGAUGAUUAUGACAAACAUAAUCCGGAGCAUAAGCAGAUAUAUAAAUUUAUAAGGACAUUGUUUAACGCCGCUCAGCUUACCGCUGAAUGUGCCAUUAUAACGUUGGUUUACCUUGAACGCCUACUUACUUACGCGGAAAUAGAUAUAACACCAGCCAAUUGGAAACGUAUAGUGCUAGGAGCUAUUUUAUUGGCAUCUAAAGUUUGGGACGAUCAGGCGGUGUGGAAUGUGGAUUACUGUCAAAUACUGAAAGAUAUUACAGUAGAAGACAUGAACGAAUUAGAGAGACAAUUUCUGGAGAUGCUGCAAUUUAACAUAAAUGUUCCUUCGAGUGUAUAUGCCAAAUAUUACUUUGAUCUUCGUACACUCGCAGAAGCAAACGAAUUAACAUUCCCUAGUGAACCCCUUAGUAAGGAAAAGGCGCAGAAGCUUGAAGCUAUGUCCAGAGUUUAUGAGGAUAAGGUCACGGCUGAGGCUCUACGUACUGGUAUUAAAAAGUGGUCCAGCUUGGACAACGUGUGCAUAGGCGGACCUAGGCGUAGCAUCGCUAUUUUAUCUUAAACAUAUGUAUGGACGUAAACACACAAAUGCAUGGUCACUGCUCAGAUUUUAAAUGAAGGAUCUUACCAUGUGGAUGUAAACAAAGCAUAUAAGUAUGUGAGACAUUGACGAAAGGGUGAGAAAGAAAAAGUUUUUAGUCGUAGCAUUAUCUGUACUGUCCUUAUGGGAGAAAAUAACUUGUGAUAUAUAUUAGUCAACUAUUCAUUAUCCAAAGCAUUUUAUAUAUUGACUGAAUUUAAUAAGAAUCAAACUUACGGCUGAUUUACUAAUAACAUUCUAAAAA
rnacentral:misc_RNA from 1 species